UUCGCAAUGCCCGAAAGGGUGACGAAGCGACGCCGCGUGCGGGAAGAAGGCCUUCGGGUUGUAAACCGCUGUCGGGAGUUAAGAAGUGCAAGGGUGUUAAUAGCAUCUUUGCUUGACUAAGGCUCCGGAGGAAGCCACGGCUAACUCUGUGCCAGCAGCCGCGGUAAUACAGAGGUGGCAAGCGUUGUUCGGAAUUAUUGGGCGUAAAGAGCACGUAGGUGGAUUUGUAAGUCAGACGUGAAAGCCUUCUGUUCAACGGAAGAAUUGCAUCUGAAACUACAAACCUUGAGUGUAGGAGGGGAGAAUGGAACUUCUGGUGGAGCGGUGAAAUGCGUAGAUAUCAGAAGGAACGCCGGCGGCGAAAGCGAUUCUCUGGCCUAUUACUGACACUGAGUGUGCGAAAGUUAGGGGAGCAAACGGGAUUAGAUACCCCGGUAGUCCUAACUGUAAACGAUGGGCACUAAGUAGAGGGGUUUU
rnacentral:rRNA from 1 species